AACGAACGCCGGCGGCAUGCCUAACACAUGCAAGUCGAACGAAGCCUUCGGGCUUAGUGGCGCACGGGUGCGUAACGCGUGGGAAUCUGCCCUUGGGUUCGGAAUAACAGUUAGAAAUGACUGCUAAUACCGGAUGAUGUCUUCGGACCAAAGAUUUAUCGCCCAAGGAUGAGCCCGCGUAGGAUUAGGUAGUUGGUGGGGUAAUGGCCCACCGAGCCGACGGUCCUUAGCUGGUCCGAGAGGAUGAUCAGCCACACUGGGACUGAGACACGGCCCAGACUCCUACGGGAGGCAGCAGUGGGGAAUAUUGGACAAUGGGCGAAAGCCUGAUCCAGCAAUGCCGCGUGAGUGAUGAAGGCCUUAGGGUUGUAAAGCUCUUUUACCAGGGAUGAUAAUGACAGUACCUGGAGAAUAAGCUCCGGCUAACUCCGUGCCAGCCGCCGCGGUAACAC
rnacentral:rRNA from 1 species